rnacentral:rRNA from 1 species
GCUUGUCUCAAAGAUUAAGCCAUGCAUGUCUAAGUAUAAGUAUUAUACAGCGAAACUGCGAAUGGCUCAUUAAAACAGUUAUAGUUUACAUGAUAAUCGAAUUUACAUGGAUAACCGUAGUAAUUCUAGAGCUAAUACAUGCAUCAACUCCCAACUGCUUGUCGGACGGGAUGUAUUUAUUAGAUUGAAACCAAUGCGGGGCAACCCGGUAUUGUGGUGAAUCAUAAUAACUUUGCGGAUCGCAGACCUCGCGUCGGCGACGAAUCAUUCAAGUUUCUGCCCUAUCAGCUUUGGAUGGUAGGGUAUUGGCCUACCAUGGCUCUAACGGGUAACGGAGAAUUGGGGUUCGAUUCCGGAGAGGGAGCCUGAGAGAUGGCUACCACAUCCAAGGAAGGCAGCAGG